AGGCUAUGUCUACACUGCAGAUUUUUGUCACCAAAAGUUAUGCCACUGUAAUUAAAGAGCUUUAAUUAAACUGCUGUGGCAUGUCCACACUAUACUCCUUGUGUCAGCAGAGUGCACCCACACUAGCAGAUCUUGCACUGACACAGAGAGCAGUGCACUGUGGGUAGCUAUCCCACUGUGCAACUGGCCACAGGGUACUUUGGGAAGGAUUUUCAAUGCCUCAUGGAGCAGGUACAGCAUCAUAUGAUGCAGGUUUCUCAAUUCUAUCGUUCCAUGGGCAUCCUACUAGAUUUCCAGCUGUUUUUCAACUGAAAUGUGUGGAGAGAAGCAUGUGAGGGGGA